AGAGAUGCUAUGAGAGGAAAUAGUAAAUUGGCUUCAUGUCUUUAGAGAAUAGGAUCCACCGGCUGAAAGAUCCUUGACCACUGCUCCAAUUGAACCUGUCCUUGAGCAGCUAGAUACUAGCCGUCCAUCCCACGAUACGGGUUUGAGAGGACAAUAUUAAUUGUCAAACAAGGUGGUACCGCGGAAUAGCUCUUCCGUCCUUUUA
rnacentral:ncRNA from 1 species